CUACUUGUUUGAUUUCCUCAUCCCUGUGCUCGUCACAGAGAUGAGGAGGAGAGAUUGCA
rnacentral:sRNA from 1 species